CCUACGGGAGGCAGCAGUGAGGAAUAUUGGUCAAUGGGCGGGAGCCUGAACCAGCCAAGUCGCGUGAGGGAAGACGGUCCUAUGGAUUGUAAACCUCUUUAGGCGGGGAGCAAUGCCGGGCACGCGUGCCCGGAGGGAGAGUACCCGCAGAAUAAGCAUCGGCUAAAUCCGUGCCAGCAGCCGCGGUAAUACGGAGGAUGCGAGCGUUAUCCGGAUGUAUUGGGUUUAAAGGGUGCGUAGGCGGAUUUUUAAGUCAGCGGUAAAAUGUCCGGGCUCAACCCGGGCCGGCCGUUGAAACUGGGGAUCUUGAGUGGGCGAGAAGUAUGCGGAAUGCGUGGUGUAGCGGUGAAAUGCAUAGAUAUCACGCAGAACUCCGAUUGCGAAGGCAGCAUACCGGCGCCCGACUGACGCUGAGGCACGAAAGCGUGGGGAUCGAACAGGAUUAGAUACCCCAGUAGUC
rnacentral:rRNA from 1 species